rnacentral:rRNA from 1 species
UACAGAGGGGGCAAGCGUUGUUCGGAAUUACUGGGCGUAAAGGGCGCGUAGGCGGCCCUCUAAGUCAUGCGUGAAAUCCCCGGGCUCAACCCGGGAACUGCGUCUGAUACUGGAGGGCUCGAAUCCGGGAGAGGGAUGUGGAAUUCCAGGUGUAGCGGUGAAAUGCGUAGAUAUCUGGAGGAACACCGGUGGCGAAGGCGGCAUCCUGGACCGGCAUUGACGCUGAGGCGCGAAAGCCAGGGGAGCAAACGGG